rnacentral:lncRNA from 1 species
CAACACCAACAGUAGCUAAGUAGGGUCUACCUAAGAGGAUUGAGAUGUGAGAGUCUUAAUUUAUGUCCAUCACCACUAAGUUAGUGGGAAUAUACAGUUGGUCGGUAGAUUCUUAAAGGCACAUCUUACAUUAUUCCUACUGGGUACUUUAUUGGUCGAUCACCUAGUUGUAGGGAUAUCUUAGUAGGUUUCAACUCUUCUAGAUUGAGCCUCUCAUAGAUAGAAAGAGGCAUUAG